CCUGCAGAUCUAGAAGCUCACUUUGAGCCCCAGUGAGGAGAGACAGAAUCUGGUGACGCCAGGCUCUUCCUGGGAUUCUGUGCCAAGGUGACCACACUUGAUGUGACUGGGAAGGCGAGAUCCUCCCUCCAUCUGUUCUGCCAGUUCACACAGCACAGCAGCCUCCUGAGUUCCGAGGGAGCCAGUGGAAGAAAACCGCUUGCUAGGUGAAGCUGUGGUCUCCUGGAACUCACCAGAGCAGAGGCAGUCAUGCACCUCUUCCAUUCCAUUUCUAGAAUGAAUAGUUGGCACAUGCCUAUCCCCCAGAGACGGAAACUUCAGCACAGAUGUAGAAAAAGGUUUAAAUAUUGGACAGCAAAAUCAUGACCAAUGUCCAUAAUUUGCAGUUGGAUGUCUUCUCUUAAAGCAGAGAACCACUCAGCUCUGCCUCUCUAAAGAGAACAUUGCAGGCAGCAGGGUUGCAGCUUAGUCCCAUCAAGUCACAUCAACAGAGACAGUCAUCACAUGCACACAACGUAAAUGGCUGCAGCUGGUGUUUGGGUGCAAACUCAGAGCAAUCUCCUGCCCACGCCUAAAGUGGUCCAGGGGCCACUGAGCAUCAACAGACAUUGAAGGGAGCCAUGACGCGAGUGGGGUCGUCCAGCAUUACUGGAACGGCAAAGGAAGGGUCCAGAGCAGGGAAACCAGCCUCAUUCUGACACUGUCCUGAAAAGGAGGGGAGGGGCAGAGGGGGCUCCUCCUGGGGCUCUGAGGGAGGGAGGGAGCUGCUGGUGCAGGAAUGGCUGUCAGACCAGCCUGGAGGCAGCAGGCCCAGCCCACUACACCUCCUCCAGAAGUUCCAUACUCACCUGGGACAGGAGCAAGCUCAAGACAGGAACAGGAGGAGGCUGAGUUCAUGGAGACCUUAAGAACAAAGAAAGUGUCACAACUGUGAUGUCACCAGCAAGGCCCCUGGCAGAGGCUGCAGCUACACUAACUCUGCUGGAGUCUGUCCUGACCUGGCGACUUACCAUGGGCUCCAGGCUGCUCUGCUGUGUGGCCCUCUGUCUCCUGGGAUCAGGCCCCUUGUACUCCGAUGUUUCCCAGACUCCAAAAUAUCUCCUCGCACAGACAGGAAAGAAGCAGUUCCUUAAAUGUGAGCAAAAUCUUGGUCACAAUGCUAUGUACUGGUAUAAGCAGGACUCCAAGCAAUCACUGAAGAUGAUGUUUCGCUACUAUAAUAAGGAAAUGACUGUAAAUGAAACGGUUCCAAGUCGCUUCUCACCUGAAUCUCCAGACAAAGCUCAUUUAAAUCUUCAUGUCAAGUCCCUGGAGCCAGAGGACUCUGCCUUGUAUCUCUGUGCCAGCAGCCGAGACACAGCCCUGCAGAGUCACCAGCUGCCUGUGCACAAACCUGCUAGGCUGCCAGGAAGCUGUGGUGACAAUGAGUUCCCUGUGCCUGAGGCUCUGCUCUCCAUUCCUGUGGGCCCCAUGGAGUGUCAGUGUGCAGCAGCCUCCAGGGUGCCUGGUGGGCAGCUGAGUUCUCCACACACAGAGCCCUGCAGAAUCCCUCUGGUCAGCUGAGCAGGGACUCCACUAGCGUCAUUCAAAUCCACCAAAGAUGGAGGAUUGAAGAUCUUGACAUAGAGCAGCUGUUCCUUGUCCUCUUCUGCUGUGCAUAUGACCACACCUUGCCCAUUAUGUUAUCAAUAAAGACACAGUUGUUAACAAUGUUUGAGGUGCACAAGCCU